ensembl:lncRNA
CAAGGAGAGCAGGGCCCACUAUGCCUCUGGCAACCUUUGAGAGGAGCUGCCCGCCUGGUCUGAGCAGCACAUGAUGGUCCACAGAGAAAAGACCAUCUAUUUUCUGUUAAUGUGAACUCUCACAUUUACGGUUUUGCCAAGCUGAAAAUAACAAUAACAUACUCUGCUCUCCAUAGCCCUGUCCCCUCGUGAAGGGAGAGGAGAAAAAGGUCCAGCCGAGCCCAGGAAACAAAGUCUCCUCUGUUGGCAGUGUGGGCUUCUUCUCCAGUCCCCAGGCCCCCCGCCGUGGCACUGGAGUGAGCUGGGCCCAGCAAGCGGGGCUUUGUGGAUAGUCUGGGAGAGCCCCCGAGGCCGGACUUGCUUCCCACGUGGGAGUGGGGCGGCCACGGGCCCUGCUGGGGCACCUACCAAGGUGCUGGGGGGCCUUGGAGGUCUGAACAUAUCCCCCGUGCUCGUGGGUCAGCGCUCCGCAUCCCCACCCAGGCGCCCCAUGAGCCCCGGUCAAGGGCACACAGAGUUCCGAAGCCCAACGUGUUCCCAGAAGCCCCAUCCUUUGAACAGUCUUCCUUUUCACUGCCCUGCUUGAAAACAGAGAAAGUUCAAACCUCCAUCUUCUGUCUUAAGGAGAUUCCUGCUGUGACUCGGUCUCUGACGUGGGUCUUUUCUUCCCCCUUCCUGGGUGGGGUCUGGGCUGGAGCCUCAGAGCAGAGAGGCGGACAUGCUGGGGGCGGGUUGGCCGUGCCGCUGGGAGAAGGCCUUCCUGCCGCCUCCACCCCGCGGGGCUCUGGGGACAGGCCCGGGGUGCUGAGAGAGGCUUGGUCUCAGGCACAGACUGUGAGGCGGGUUGGCCUCCGAGCUGAUGGGGAUCACCGGCUGGGCCUCCCUGCCUCCCGGCAGCAGCCACAGACACUCACAGCCCCUGUUUUGUUUCUUCCUCAGACCGGUCUGUUCUCAAUUACUCUGCGGCCCUGCUCUCUGCUUUCUACAGCUCAUUUGUGAAGGAACAUUUGCCCUGGAGCUGGGGACACGUGGGCGUCCAACACCUUCACUCUAGAAGGCUCUGUGGCCUCGAAGAUCAUGCAACUUCUGGAUUCAGACUUCUUCGCCUCACCCAUAAACCACAGACGUCUUCCUAACCAGGCUGGGCCUGAGAUGAGGGCGGAGAGAGAAAGAGAGCAGCGGGUUUUCGUUCUGCCUCUCCCGCGCCACUCGAUGGUGGCCUGAAAUCGCAGCCGUCAGCCUUGGAGAGCGUCCCUCCGACUUGCAAGCGUAGCGGGGUUCAGAGCCUCAGUCACCUGGACGGCUGGCUUCUGAGUCCUCAGCGCCUCACCACCUCGCGGAGGUCACUGGUGGGAAAGGUGGGCUUUGACAGGCAGCAGGAGUGAACGCAGGGUUUGGUGUAUGAGGAGCAGAGUGUGGUGAAGCGCUGAGUGUUUUUGC